CGCUUCUCAUAGGUUUUGCUGUCAGCGCUCACUGAAAACACCACGCGCGAGCUCUCCCGGACAUUUCUCCCAGACUUGUUGCAGCCCAAGUAACAGUGGAGGCAUUAUGGGCAUGCUUCCCUGACACCUGGCUAUUCUAAAGACUGCAGAGCACCAAGCACAGCACAUGCUAUGACAGGAAAUGAAAAUCAUUGAAAAGGAACUAAAAGCGGGAGGACCACGAAACGGCCCGGUCGGCAUCUUGCAGCCGCAGCAUACUUUCACCGCGGCCUCCAGCAGAGGUGUACCGAACAGUUCAGCAAGGACUGGUAGGUAACUUCUAGUCCCUCCGGGGUGAGCACCACCUGGUGUCCUGGUGGCGUGGCCAUGCCGCUGCGACUGUGCUGCCCUGUGGUGCAACCGAAAUGUGGCUGUAGCUGUGGAGUGGAGGCAGCGGUUCCCUGCCAAGACACACCUAGAAUAUUGUGGCCUCCACGCUCCCAACCACUCGCAUCAACACUGCGAUCCUGGUGUCCUGGUGGUGUGGCCAUGCCGGUGCGACUGCGCUGCCCUGUGGUGCAACCGAAACGUGGCCGCGGAGUGCAGGCUGCUGUCACUAGUGUCCUGGUGGCGUGGCCAUGCCGCUGCGACUGCGCUGCCCUAUGGUGCAACCGAAACAUGGCCGCGGCUGUGAAGUGGAGGCAGUUGCUUGCCCAGACACGCCUGGAAUGUUGUCGCCGCCACCGUGGAACUUAUUCGGCUCAACAACGCGAUCAUGUUGGCCAGGUGGUGCUGCUUAAGUAGCUCAGCGUAGUGUCGUCGGCGCUCAGAGCGACUCUUUCAAUGGUCGAUUUAAAGACAGGUGCAGCACGCGGCACGUAGCCUGGUUGGCCGGGUAUGAUCUCACUCUCCCAGUCCUCCAUGAUCCGCUCAAACCCAGCGCACAUUGAUGUAACAGUAUUACCUUAUUACUUUGGGAGAGUUGUAUUAGUUGUCACUUUGGCUUUAAUAGAGUGCUCCAAGAUGAUACAAUAUUUGGCUGAUAUUUAUCAUUCUACAUCAAACAGCUGAUAUAUUUUUUUCUAUCAAUUUUAUGUGCAUGUGAUAUGUCAUAUAUGUUUACAUAUGAAGAAAUUGUAAUUUUAGAUAUAUUUCGCAUACCUGUAGUGACAUACAUAGCACGUUGUAGGACUUGGAAACUUGCACAGUGACCUGAGGAACAGACAGCUGUCACAAAACCAAGGAGUGGAGGAGGCGAGGCAUUGGCAUGAUGUGUUAACUGGAUACUCAAGAGAAAGUAAGUUGAGCUGUAUUAGUGAAUUGCCCUUAACAAUAUCAGAGCUUAUCAGGCCUUCUCACUUACUGUGUGAGAAGGCCUGAUAAGCCAGAAAAGACAUUAAGUGAAAGACUGAUGGUGAUGUCGCCUUCAAGUUUGGCACCAGCUCAAGCCUAUUUAAUCAUUCAUUGGUAAAGAUAGACUAUGUUGCAUUCUAAGGAAGCCAAAACCCAAACUUGGGAAGUUUGGUAAGUUUUACUGUGCCACAGAGGCCCAAAUAUGAGGAAAUACUUUGCAGUCCACGAUGUCACACUGAUUUACCAGCUAUGUGGUUCUCACGCGAAAUUCAAGGAACAAAACUCAGGCCUUCAUUUUCUCUUUUAGUAAUCAACCUCUUAUGUGAAAUUAAUGAAAAUAGAGUUUUUAAAGAAUAGUCUAUCAGUCCUGAUUUAGUGUUUCUGUUUAGUGUCCCUUUAAGGAUUGUCACAGGUCACAUGGAAAGAAGAAGGGCAGCAGCAGGGUGGUCACAUCUCAGUGCCAACUCUUGCACAGCUGCGCUGGCAGAACACCUGGAGAUGAUAGCACAAUGGAGAGGAAGGACAUAUAACAGAUGAGAGAGGAUUCCACAAUACUGAUUGAAUUGCAGCAACCGAUCAAGUGAACACUGAAUGCAUGUUGGGAAUGUCGAUACAUGUCCACGGUGUUGCAUAAUUUUGUGCACAUUAACAAAAAUAGGAAUGCUGUGCAGGGCUGCGAUAUUGUAGCAAUGCAUUCUUGCAAUGCUAAUGCCUCUUCACACUUUUUUGCAUUUGUGAGUGGUCAGAGUGGUACUCCACCUGGGAUAGAGUGCUGCUCUGGCUACUCUCACGAGUGUCGACAAAUAAAAGAAACGACAAAAUAAAAUAAAUAGUGGAAGCAUCAAGAAGAAUUGGACAGGAUCAGGACCAUACUUACUUGAAUAUAGGUUGAACACGAAUAUAGGUUGACCCCUAUCUCUUCAGAAAAACGAAAAACUCUUAACAUGACGCACCUUUAUUUACCACAAGCUCAGCUACUAAAUCGUGCAUGUCGAUGCCACAAGCCGCAUCCUUGUCAGAACUGCCAGAGAGGUCAUCCUCAUCAAAUGCUUCGUAGGCCAUCCUCGCAACACCGAAUGACAACAUCCCUAGUGCCGUUGGGUGCUUUGGAUAUGCAGUAUUUUUAAACUCGGUCCGGAUAAUCUCCCAACUGGGUUUACAGUGGUGUGCGGUGAAGAAUCUCAAUUACCUUGGUAGUUUUGCAGACUUUGUUUAAGAAUAUAGGUCGAGAUUCUUUGGUCAUGACUAUAGGUCAAUUCUACAUUUUGGGUAACAUUUCCGGAAAACAAAGGUCAACCUAUUUGCAAAUAUAGGUUGACCAUAACUUUCCGCUUUGGCUGCACGGCGUUGUGGGUUCGAUUCACAUCGCUGCCGGGCACCCGCUGGUUCAAAUGGGCACAAGUGUACCCCGGCCUGGCGUUCGGCUUCCUUCAGGGGUGAAACACUUGGGAAAAGAGCCUGCACUCUAAGUUCAUGUCAACUCUCGUGAGCACAAAAAAAGUAAUGUUUGGGCCGCUCCCAUGGCGGCAAUUCUUCACGUGGCACCCCAUAUGCACCUAUUGAGGUAGGGACACCUUCGUGUUGGAGACAAACACCCCUUUCCAAGCAUUGGCUCCAUAAUGGCUGAGCACCAGGCUAGGAGCGCGCUUGUAGCUAUUUUACUGGUAGGUACCCGGUGGCAACACUUGCCUCCCACAGCCACGGUGGAUGCUCUUUAACAGGGCUGUCUGUGGUCACCCAUGAAAGGUAGUUACCAUGAAGAGAGCAAAAAAUUCAUGCAGAUGUCGGGUGGAUAGCCAUCGCAUGAGAGGUGUCUAAAUGAGAUCACUUUAGUCCACUCAAUUGUAGCAUGGGCGAGGACCCAUUAGUUGCAUCACUUUUUUUUUUUUAAACAAAACCAUUCUUAUUUACUGCAUAAACGUAGCUAAAAGCGGGAGGACCACGAAACGGCCCGGUCGGCAUCUUGCAGCCGCAGCAUACUUUCACCGCGGCCUCCAGCAGAGGUGUACCAAACAGUUCAGCAAGGACUUGUAGGUAACUUCUUUUCCCUCCGGGGUGAGCACCACCUGGUGUCCUGGUGGCGUGGCCAUGCCGCUGCGACUGCGCUGCCCUGUGGUGCAACCGAAAUGUGGCUGCGGCUGUGGAGUGGAGGCAGCGGUUCCCUGCCAAGACACGCCUAGAAUAUUGUGGCCUCCACGCUCCCGACCACUCGCAUCAACACUGCGAUCCUGGUGUCCUGGUGGUGUGGCCAUGCCGGUGCGACUGCGCUGCCCUGUGGUGCAACCGAAACGUGGCCGCGGAGUGCAGGUUGCUGUCACUAGUGUCCUGGUGGCGUGGCCAUGCCACUGCGACUGCGCUGCCCUGUGGUGCAACCGAGACGUGGCCGCGGCUGUGGAGUGGAGGCUGCAGUUGCUUGCCGAGACACGCCUGGAAUGUUGUCGCCGCCACCGUGGAACUUAUUCGGCUCAACAACGCGAUCAUGUUGGCCAGGUGGUGCUGCUUAAGUAGCUCAGCGUAGUGUCGUCGGCGCUCAGAGCGACUCUUUCAAUGGUCGAUUUAAAGACAGGUGCAGUACGCGGCACGUAGCCUGGUUGGCCGGGUAUGAUCUCACUCUCCCAGUCCUCCAUGAUCCGCUCAAACCCAGCGCACAUUGAUGUAACAGUAUUACCUUAUUACUUUGGGAGAGUUGUAUUAGUUGUCACUUUGGCUUUAAUAGAGUGCUCGAAAAUGAUACAAUAUUUGGCUGAUAUUUAUGAUUCUACAUCAAACAGCUGAUAUAUUUUUUUCUAUCAAUUUUAUGUGCAUGUGAUAUGUCAUAUAUGUUUACAUAUGAAGAAAUUGUAAUUUUAGAUAUAUUUCGCAUACCUGUAGUGACAUACAUAGCACGUUGUAGGACUUGGAAACUUGCACAGUGACCUGAGGAACAGACAGCUGUCACAAAACCAAGGAGUGGAGGAGGCGAGGCAUUGGCAUGACGUGUUAACUGGAUACUCAAGAGAAAGUAAGUUGAGCUGUAUUAGUGAAUUGCCCUUAACAAUAUCAGAGCUUAUCAGGCCUUCUCACUUACUGUGUGAGAAGGCCUGAUAAGCCAGAAAAGACAUUAAGUGAAAGACUGAUGGUGAUGUCGCCUUCAAGUUUGGCACCAGCUCAAGCCUAUUUAAUCAUUAAUUGGUAAAGAUAGACUAUGUUGCAUUCUAAGGAAGCCAAAACCCAAACUUGGGAAGUUUUACUGUGCCACAGAGGCCCAAAUAUGAGGAAAUACUUUGCAGUCCACGAUGUCACACUGAUUUACCAGCUAUGUGGUUCUCAUGCGAAAUUCAAGGAACAAAACUCAGGCCUUCAUUUUCUCUUUUAGUAAUCAACCUCUUAUGUGAAAUUAAUGAAAAUAGAGUUUUUAAAGAAUAGUCUAUCAGUCCUGAUUUAGUGUUUCUGUUUAGUGUCCCUUUAAGGAAUGUCACAGGUCACAUGGAAAGAAGAAGGGCAGCAGCAGGGUGGUCACAUCUCAGUGCCAACUCUUGCACAGCUGCGCUGGCACAACACGUGGAGAUGAUAGCACAAUGGAGAGGAAGGACAUAUAACAGAUGAGAGAGGAUUCCACAAUACUGAUUGAAUUGCAGCAACCGAUCAAGUGAACACUGAAUGCAUGUUGGGAAUGUCGGUACAUGUCCACGGUGUUACAUAAUUUUGUGCACAUUAACAAAAAUAGGAAUGCUGUGCAGGGCUGCCAUUUUGUAGCAAUGCAUUCUUGCGAUGCUAAUGCCUCUUCACACUUUUUGUGCAUUUGUGAGUGGUCAGAGUGAUACUCCACCUGGGAUAGAGUGCUGCUCUGGCUACUCUCACGAGUGUCGACAAAUAAAAGAAACGACAAAAUAAAAUAAAUAGUGGAAGCAUCAAGAAGAAUUGGACAGGAUCAGGACCAUACUUACUUGAAUAUAGGUUGAACACGAAUAUAGGUUGACCCCCAUCUCUUCAGAAAAACGAAAAACUCUUAACAUGACGCACCUUUAUUUACCACAAGCUCAGCUACUAAAUCGUGCAUGUCGAUGCCACAAGCCGCAUCCUUGUCGGAACUGCCAGAGAGGUCAUCCUCAUCAAAUGCUUCGUAGGCCAUCCUCGCAACACCGAAUGACAACAUCCCUAGUGCCGUUGGGUGCUUUGGAUAUGCAGUAUUUUUAAACUCGGUCCGGAUAAUCUCCCAACUGGGUUUACAGUGGUGUGCGGUGAAGAAUCUCAAUUACCUUGGUAGUUUUGCAGACUUUGUUUAAGAAUAUAGGUCGAGAUUCUUUGGUCAUGACUAUAGGUCAAUUCCGCAUUUUGGGUAACAUUUCCGGAAAACAAAGGUCAACCUAUUUGCAAAUAUAGGUUGACCAUAACUUUCCGCUUUGGCUGCACGGCGUUGUGGGUUUGAUUCAUAUCGCUGCCGGGCACCCGCUGGUUCAAAUGGGCACAAGUGUACCCCGGCCUGGCGUUCGGCUUCCUUCAGGGGUGAAACACUUGGGAAAAGAGCCUGCACUCUAAGUUCAUGUCAACUCUCGUGAGCACAAAAAAAGUAAUGUUUGGGCCGCUCCCAUGGCGGCAAUUCUUCACGUGGCACCCCAUAUGCACCUAUUGAGGUAGGGACACCUUCGUGUUGGAGACAAACACCCCUUUCCAAGCAUUGGCUCCAUAAUGGCUGAGCACCAGGCUAGGAGCGCGCUUGUAGCUAUUUUACUGGUAGGUACCCGGUGGCAACACUUGCCUCCCACAGCCACGGUGGAUGCUCUUUAACAGGGCUGUCUGUGGUCACCCAUGAAAGGUAGUUACCAUGAAGAGAGCAAAAAAUUCAUGCAGAUGUCGGGUGGAUAGCCAUCGCAUGAGAGGCGUCUAAAUGAGAUCACUUUAGUCACUCAAUUGUAGCAUGGGCGAGGACCCAUUAGUUGCAUCACUUUUUUUUUUUUUAAACAAAACCAUUCUUAUUUACUGCACAAACGUAGCUAAAAGCGGGAGGACCACGAAACGGCCCGGUCGGCAUCUUGCAGCCGCAGCAUACUUUCACCGCGGCCUCCAGCAGAGGUGUACCAAACAGUUCAGCAAGGACUUGUAGGUAACUUCUUGUCCCUCCGGGGUGAGCACCACCUGGUGUCCUGGUGGCGUGGCCAUGCCGCUGCGACUGCGCUGCCCUGUGGUGCAACCGAAACGUGGCCGCGGAGUGCAGGCUGCUGUCACUAGUGUCCUGGUGGCGUGGCCAUGCCGCUGCGACUGCGCUGCCCUGUGGUGCAACCGAAACGUGGCCGCGGCUGUGAAGUGGAGGCAGUUGCUUGCCCAGACACGCCUGGAAUGUUGUCGCCGCCACCGUGGAACUUAUUCGGCUCAACAACGCGAUCAUGUUGGCCAGGUGGUGCUGCUUAAGUAGCUCAGCGUAGUGUCGUCGGCGCUCAGAGCGACUCUUUCAAUGGUCGAUUUAACGACAGGUGCAGCACGCGGCACGUAGCCUGGCUGGCCGGGUAUGAUCUCACUCUCCCAGUCCUCCAUGAUCCGCUCAAACUCAGCGCACAUUGAUGUAACAGUAUUACCUUAUUACUUUGGGAGAGUUGUAUUAGUUGUCACUUUGGCUUUAAUAGAGUGCUCGAAAAUGAUACAAUAUUUGGCUGAUAUUUAUGAUUCUACAUCAAACAGCUGAUAUAUUUUUUUCUAUCAAUUUUAUGUGCAUGUGAUAUGUCAUAUAUGUUUAUUUUGCAUACCUGUAGUGACAUACAUAGCACGUUGUAGGACUUGGAAACCUGCACAGAAAAGUUUUCUUUUCUCUCAAAUUUGUGGCCACCCUGUACAUCAAUGACAGUUCGUGCUGAACAAUAACAUGUUAAAAAAUGGCGCUUUUUUUCCCUAGUCAAUAACUGGUGCUGCCCUAGGGCAUCAGCACCCAAAGAAUUUCUUUCGUGAAUGCAGCUGCAUGACAAGUUCUCUACUGUAUUCUAUCAGAUAUCCAAGACGGUGUUGUGGUUGGCCUGCCAGACAUUACCUGGGGUGAGAAGGUGGCAUGUGCAGUCGCUCUGCGAGACUCGGCAACUGAACUAACUCUACAGGAGCUGCGUGAAUGGAGAAAAGCUCGAAUGGAAGCAGCCAUGAUUCCAGUGUUACUGCAGGUUGUUCAAGAAAUACCACGAAAUGCUAUGGGCAAAGUGAACAAGAAGGAUAUUGUCUAAAUUUUUUGCAAGUUCUUAGUACAAUGUUAAUUUCUACGUUUGUAUGUUAGUUUUAUGCAUUAUUGAAUGUGAUGGCAUAUUUUACAGCAUAACAUGUAUGUUCACCCAGGAACAAACAAAAAAUCACAGGGCACAUUGUGCACGUAUGUGUCGAAUUUUUUAAUUUAAAACUUGUCGCCAUGUGAUGCAGUGGGUAGGGUUUGGUAAUCUUGUCAAGUUCAAGCUCUGCACAUAUCAAGCUGCUGCUGUGUAGUGGCAAAGCCAAGUAAUGCCAGACAAGGUGUAGUUUUGGAAUAAAGGUUUUCUUUUGUGUA